UUGCUUCUUGGGUGACGAGCGGCGGACGGGUGAGUAACGCGUGGGAAUCUACCUGGUAGUGGGGGACAACAGUCGGAAACGACUGCUAAUACCGCAUACGCCCUUCGGGGGAAAGUGGGGGAUCUUCGGACCUCACGCUAUCAGAUGAGCCCGCGUCGGAUUAGCUUGUUGGUGAGGUAAAGGCUCACCAAGGCGAUGAUCCGUAGCUGGUCUGAGAGGAUGACCAGCCACACUGGGACUGAGACACGGCCCAGACUCCUACGGGAGGCAGCAGUGGGGAAUAUUGGACAAUGGGGGCAACCCUGAUCCAGCCAUGCCGCGUGUGUGAAGAAGGCCUUCGGGUUGUAAAGCACUUUCAGCUGUGAGGAAAGGCGAGUGGUUAAUACCCGCUUGCUGUGACGUUAACAGCAGAAGAAGGACCGGCUAACUCCGUGCCAGCAGCCGCGGUAAUACGGAGGGUCCGAGCGUUAAUCGGAAUUACUGGGCGUAAAGCGCGCGUAGGUGGUUCAGUCAGUCAGAUGUGAAAGCCCCGGG
rnacentral:rRNA from 1 species